rnacentral:rRNA from 1 species
UACGGAAGGCAGCAGUGGGGAAUAUUGCACAAUGGGCGCAAGCCUGAUGCAGCCAUGCCGCGCGUAUGAAGAAGGCCUUCGGGUUGUAAAGUACUUUCAGUCGUGAGGAAGGUGUUAAGGUUAAUAACCUUAGCAAUUGACGUUAGCGACAGAAGAAGCACCGGCUAACUCCGUGCCAGCAGCCGCGGUAAUACGGAGGGUGCGAGCGUUAAUCGGAAUUACUGGGCGUAAAGGGCACGCAGGCGGUUAAUUAAGUUGGAUGUGAAAUCCCCGGGCUUAACCUGGGAAUGGCAUUCAAGACUGGUUAGCUAGAGUCUUGUAGAGGGGGUAGAAUUCCAUGUGUAGCGGUGAAAUGCGUAGAGAUGUGGAGGAAUACCGGUGGCGAAGGCGGCCCCUGGACAAAGACUGACGCUCAUGUGCGAAAGCGUGGGGAGCAAACAGGAUUAGAUACC